GAUGAACGCUGGCGGCGUGCCUAAUACAUGCAAGUCGAGCGAACAGACGAGGAGCUUGCUCCUCUGACGUUAGCGGCGGACGGGUGAGUAACACGUGGAUAACCUACUUAUAAGACUGGGAUAACUUCGGGAAACCGGAGCUAAUACCGGAUAAUAUAUUCAACCGCAUGGUUCAAUAGUGAAUGACGGUUUUGCUGUCACUUAUAGAUGGUUCCGCGCCGCAUUAGCUAGUUGGUAAGGUAACGGCUUACCAAGGCAACGAUGCGUAGCCGACCUGAGAGGGUGAUCGGCCACACUGGAACUGAGACACGGUCCAGACUCCUACGGGAGGCAGCAGUGGGGAAUCUUGCGCAAUGGGCGAAAGCCUGACGGAGCAACGCCGCGUGAGUGAUGAAGGUCUUCGGAUCGUAAAGCUCUGUUAUUAGGGAAGAAAAAAUGUGUAAGUAACUAUGCACGUCUUGACGGUACCUAAUCAGAAAGCCACGGCUAACUACGUG
rnacentral:rRNA from 1 species